GUCUAUGGCCAUGCCACCCUGAACAUGCCUGCUCUCAUCUGAUCUCGGAAGCUAAGCAGAGUCAAGCCUGGUUAGUCGAGCCUGUACUUGGAUGGGAGACCACCUAGGAAGACCAGGUGUAAAAAAAA
rnacentral:rRNA from 1 species